AGUCGGCCACAGCUGCCCCUCGAGCAGCGAGUGGGGCAGGAGCGGCUCUACCUUUCCUUGCGACCUACUCGCCUGCUGAGCCCAGACCUUGCUCCAGGGUAGCUCCAAGCUGCCCCACAGGAUUUAGCCCGCUUAUUUUCUCCCCUAACCCUGCAAGUUCUGUAGGGCCUUGUUGAAGAUGUUAACUCUUCUGUAAUAACUAACCAUUUCAUCUUGCCCAGCACCCUCUUUUGGCACACGAGAGCCCUGAGACCCCAAAAGAGGAAAUGAGAUUCUGAGGCCGUAUAGCAAGGUGGACCCAACCGGGGACUCCUGGGCGGCAAAUACAAGGAUUGGGUUAGGUAUCAGGAUAUCUGAGUGUUCACAUACAGCGUCCUCACCAUGUGCUGCGUCAGUGGUUCACAAAGUGAGCUUCCGGAUCAGCAGCGGCCGUAUCGCCUGGGAACUGGGUAGAGGCGCAGGUUCUCGGCCCCCAUUCCACGCCUACUGACUCAGAACCCCUGGGGAUGGGGCUCCUUCCGGUGGCCCUCCAGGUGGUGCCAGGCUCACUGUGCUGGUAAGUCCAGAGACCAAGGCACAUCCCUUCUGGACAGUGGAUUUUUUUUUUUUUUUUUUUUUGAGACGGCACGGUCUCUGCUCACUGCAACCUCCACCUCCCGGGUUCAAGCGAUUCUCGUGCCUCAGCCUCCCACGUAGCUGGGAUCACAGGCGCCCACUACCACGCUCCACUAGUUUUUUUUGUAUUUUAGUAGAGACGGGGGUUUCACUAUGUUGCCCAGGCUGGUCUCGAACUCCUGAGCUCAGGCAAUCCGCCCAUCUUGGCCUCCCAAAGUGCUAGGAUUACAGGCGUGAGCCACCUCACCCGGCCUCUGGACAGUGGAUUUAUAAAGACAAGUAAUGUAUCUGGUACCUGGGUGUGUCUGACUCCAGAAUCUGUGCUCUUAACCGUUAAACUUUAAAGCUGAGAGUAUCUUUUUUUUUUUUAAACAGUGCUCAGUCCUCUAUUGGAGAUUCUGCCCCCUCUGGGACAGAUGUCCACGCUGCCCGCGACUCCUGAGCACACUCCCAUGGCGGGUGGCGUGCUCUGGGUGGGUGUGCGGCAGUGGCCGGUCAGGGUGUAGGGAAGGGGACUGAGAGGGGACCUUGGUGAGCUUGCAUUUGUGUGGGGAUACACGUGAAGGGGUGUCUGAUCCCAGGACUCAGGGCCUCUUCCUCCUGGGGGGCACACAGAGCCCCUUCCCUUCCUCCUCGGGGAACAGCCCCGGAAUGGGGCCUUCCCUUGGUGCCUCUAGGUCCUGCCCUCCAGCCCAUGUCCCCAGAAGGUGGUCUUUCCUUGGAGGGGUCAGAGACUAUAGCCCAGGGCUCUGGGGUCACUGUGGGAACAUCUGCCUCAGCUCGGCACGCACUUCUCCUGGCCUGUUUCUUCCACUGGGAACUGGGACCCUAACCCCUCAAAGGGGGAUCCCUGAGCGAGGGUCAUGGGCAGGGAGCUGGUAUGGACGGGUGUGUGCGGGGAGGGGUGACUGGCGGGGGCUGGGGUGUCAGGGGGCUGGGGUGGCCUAGUCGUCUUUAUCCUUGGCGCCAUGUUUGAGGAUGCGGGUGAACUCCACGUAGUUGAAGUUGCCUUUCUUAUCAAUGGGUGCCUCCCGGUACAUCUCGUCCACUUCCUCAUCUGUGAAGCG
rnacentral:lncRNA from 1 species